CUUUCUAACUAUGUCCUGCAUGUCCCAUGCCUUAGCUAGUUUGCAAAUUCGUUUGCAUCCCAGCUGUUAGUAGGUUAAUCUAGCCAGUGCAGAUCUCCCGGCUUACUAAAAAUUGGUUGUUUUUUUUAUCUGCAAAUUAAACGAGCUAGUUUAAAGUUUCAUAUUAAAAUAAUAUUUUUAUAAUCAAAUUAGUGGUGAAAGUGCCAGACAAUGUUUUAACAAGUUCAUCAGUUCAUCUCUCAUGCUAAACCGCGGGAAUUCUACGAGGCUCUGCAUCUAAUUUUAUAGCAGCGGGUUCAGACUCGCACCGCGACUUCUUUACGUACAAAUCGAAGCUGCGCAUUUUUGGUCAGGUAAGUUAGAGAAGUUGCUAAUGUUGUGGUAAGAGUAGUUAGAUGGAUCAGUCUGUAACUAAUUAGAAAAAAGGCUUUGACUAUAGAAAUAUACAUUAUUUUUAUAUGAAACGCGAAUACGCGACGCCUUAAAUGAGUAUUUCAUUCGUUACAGGGCAAUUUACAGCGGUGCACGCACACCAUGUUUAUAUUUUGUCUGUUCUUAUUCUAGCUACUCAGUAAUGAAAAAAAAACUAAGCUAAGGAUAAAGACAGUCAGCACGGUGGGCAUCCAACCUUUGUUUUCGAAUUCUUUGGACCAAAUUUACAAAUAUAAGAAGAGAAACUGUCACUGUCACUAUCUUCAUAUCAAGGGAACUGAGUUCUCUCAUAUCAGAGGGAUCAAAAUGGCGAUCCUGGAGGUAUCAGAUGCCAGAGGUGAGACAGACCCUCUUGGAAACCUUGCUGUUGUGAUAGAGGAGACUCUUGCUCUAGAAGGGCUUGGUGACUUUCCCACAGCCUUUAUGGUACUAUUUGGACUUCUUUAUGCGCUCAACAUUGAAUACCCAAAAGAAUGGAGAUACACAUUUGAAACUGUACAGAAGGUAUUCCUGCCUCUUGGUGAGCAGUGCUCUGCUCGAACCUUGUCACUGAAAAAAAGCCUGCUUAAAGCCUAGGAAUGCAAGUUCAGCCUUGGUAUUGUACCUUUCUGUUUAUUCGGUAUAAGAUAUACACUGAUCAGCCAUAACAUUAAAACCACCUUGUUUCUACACUCACUGUCCAUUUUAUCAGCUCCACUUACCAUAUAGAAGCACUUUGUAGUUCUACAAUUACUGACUGUAGUCCAUCUGUUUCUCUGCAUACGUUUUAAUUUGCUUUCACCCUGUUCUUUCAAGGUUCAGGGUGUCGUAACUGUUGAGUACAGAUAUCUGCUGCUGAACAAAGGUCACUAUCUUGUUCAUGUGAUAGUAUUGUGUAAGUUUUAUAUAUAGACUUUUUAGCAAUGGAAAUGGAAGUUUAGCAUCAUUUGUUUAAGUAUAAGUACAUAGUAGUUCAUUGUAGUUCAUAGUAGUUCAUUGAAUGUACUUGAUUUAAAUGUAUUAUUAUUAUAUUUUACACAUAAUUUAAAUGUUAUUAGCACAGUUUUGCCUUUCAGAUUACUGACCUUUGGCAAGAUGUGUUGAGUAAUAUUCUGUUCAUGAGAAUUUUGUACACGUCAAAAAACAAGUACGUUUAGUGUAUAAUAUUUUUUAGUGUAACUGUGUAAAAACUGCAUAUUUCGCAAUAUGUUUUGUAAAAGUGCAGACUUACUGAU